rnacentral:lncRNA from 1 species
GAUAUUUAACCACUGUAUAUAACCAUAAACCCAUAAACUACUACACCUUGCUUAGAUAAGUGUUGUUUACUCCGGAUCUGUGGAAAAGCCUAAGUUUGGGGCUUUAUCAAAAUGUUGGAGACACCGAUGAAAGGUAGAUAAGUGCAAAAAGAAAAAAGUCAAAGAAAAAACAGAGAAAUGAAAAAAAUGUAUAUCAUGAGAAGUAUCAUGAAACACUUAUCUAGAAGUAUUAAGGUUGGCAAAAAGCUUGCU